UAAAAGUGUUUGCAGAAUUAUUAAAUGGUUACUUAUUUUUUGAAUUUUUAAUUAUAAAAUUAGAAAUGUUAUAAAUUAAUAUAAUAAUAUUAAUUGAUUAAUUUUCUUCAAAAACAAUUACUAUUAAUUAAUUUCUGGAGAAAAAAAUCUCCAGCGCUCCUUCUUCUUCCAUUCCACUAUCCACUCACCUUCUUCUUCCAUAGCAAGUUCACUCACACCUCCAUCACCCACUCCCUCCUUAGGCAUAACACAAAAUUAAUGAUACAAGAAUAUAGGUCUUUGAAAUUUUCAUUCAAAUUCCUUUAUUCCCCAAAUCCAAAUCUGUUAUUUGAUUUUGCUUAGCUUUUUCUUUUUAUUAUUUCUGACUUUUCGAAUCCCUUUCGUGAUUUCCAGACCUUAUGAAAAUUUUAGGUUUUGUUGUUGUUUAGUGCUACUGGUUUGUUAAAGGAUUUUGAAUGUUGAUUGUUGUUGAAUUUCUGGGUUUAUUUUCUUAUCAUUGUUGAUUGUGUUUUUGGUUGUUUAAUUUGUAAAGAGAUGAAUAAGAUGGUUUGGGUGGUGAUGAAGCAAAACAUGAUUAAGGACAUGAAGUUAGUGCUACUGGUUUUAUUUUAUUUUCACUAAUGAAGGAGAAGAAGUUGGGUGGUAAUUUCUUAAUUAAUA
rnacentral:lncRNA from 1 species